GGGCGGUUAGCUCAGCGGUAGAGCACUGCUUUCACACGGCAGGGGUCACUGGUUCGAUCCCAGUACCGCCCACCA
rnacentral:tRNA from 2 species